GUGCUUGCAGGCUUUGAAGAACAAGCUGCCAUGAAUCCUGCAGCUACAAGGAAAUGAACUCUAUUAACUUGAGUGAGCUUAAAACUAGAUCCUUCCCCAGUCAAGCCUCCAGGUGAGAAUUCAAUCCUGGCUGGCACCUGGAUUGCAGCUUACAGAAGACCCAGCUAAGGCCAUGUCUGGACUUUAAAUCCACAGGAACUGCAAGAGAACUGUUUGAUACACGCAACCAGGACUGUAUGAGAGGCUGGAAACGUAUCUAUCAGUACUACUUAUCUGUAGUAAAGACUUUUUUAAGCUCAUUUAUGAUUGCACAACCUAAAUAACCAUACAUGGCUGGGCCUGGGAAAGGCAGAAAGGCAGAUGGAUGGUAUCAGAAGUGGGACCUGCAGUGGGGCAUCUAGCAACCCCCAGGAGCAUUGAGUGACCAGGCUUGGGACCCACCGGGCGCAGGGUGUCCAUUGUUCUCUCGAAGCAACUGAGAAUUGUGGAUAUUCUUCAUUAUUCCAUCAUCAUCUCAAACCUCUUGGGUAUAGUG
rnacentral:lncRNA from 1 species